AUGACAGAAAGCCAUGGGGAUGUACUUAAAUGUCUGCUGGUGACCUCCAGGAUAGGUCAAUGGCGUUUAGAAGGGGCAUCUGAGCAUCUGCUUUACAGUCAAACAGACUUUGUUUUUAAUCCUGGAUCUCCUCCCCAUAAGCUGUUCUGUGUCAGCAUAUCACUCAUCUGUCUUAGCUUCAAUUUCUCCAGCUGCAAAUUGGAAACAACAGUAGCUACCUUGCAGAAUGUUAAAGACAUUAUUACGCAUUCUUUCAAUGGCAUGGGUAGUAGCCAGUACUAUUUUAAAAUAUCCAAUGUUCUAGGAAAAGGCUCAUGCUAUAAAGAAAAAUGGUUAAAAUGAAAUGUCAAAGAGUAGCCCUUGGUCACUUCAGUUUGCGAGCAGGCUGUGUGGUCGAAAUCAGAUGGACUCAGGAGGCUUUCACCGGGGCCUGAAAGGUGAGAUUUUUUUUGCAUCUCUGAAAUGCAGCUAUCUUUUCUCACAACAAAUGAAAGCUGAAGACAGGCAUUUCAGCAUGCCAAGACCUCACAUCUGAGAGAUGAGACUUGAAGAGAAGGCUGCUGCUUGGACAGCUCUAUUGCAUUAACAUAACACCACCACCACAAUUCCAGGACACACUCAUUAUGAGCACAGCAUGAGAAAUAAUAAUUAAAAAAAGAUUUGUAUUAAACUUCAUUUUAUUUAUUUUGCUGACCAUAAAGCUGAGGCCCUUCUACUGUUUCUUUCUUAUUAAUUGUUAGUUUGCUGUGUUCUCUGAAAGCACUUAGGACUUAAUUAAAAUAAUUUAAAUGGUCAUAAUCUGUCAAGCUUACAGUUCCCCUUAAAAGCCAUUCUGCUCUCCCCUUAGUGAAUUUCAUUGUAAAGAAAUCAAAGAGAAAAACUCAGGAUAUUGUCACCAUGAAGAUAAGUGGGGAAGAGGGUAUAGAAAGGGAGGGAGGUGAAAGUGCCUGCAUUAUUUGAAUAGCAGCAAAGCCAUUCAUAAUUUCAGCUUAAUUAUCUUCAAAUGAUAAAAGGCUUCAGCUACUGUUUGCCAGAAGUAAAGGCUUUGGAAAUAAAUACAUAGCACUAGCUCUAUUUAUUUUCA
rnacentral:lncRNA from 13 species